rnacentral:rRNA from 1 species
CAAUAAGCGGAGGAAAAGAAACUAACAAGGAUUCCCCUAGUAACUGCGAGUGAAGCGGGAAAAGCUCAAAUUUAAAAUCUGGCAGUCUUUGGCUGUCCGAGUUGUAAUCUAGAGAAGUGUUAUCCGCGCUGGACCGUGUACAAGUCUCCUGGAAUGGAGCGUCAUAGAGGGUGAGAAUCCCGUCUUUGACACGGACUGCCAGGGCUUUGUGAUGCGCUCUCAAAGAGUCGAGUUGUUUGGGAAUGCAGCUCAAAAUGGGUGGUAAAUUCCAUCUAAAGCUAAAUAUUGGCGAGAGACCGAUAGCGAACAAGUACCGUGAGGGAAAGAUGAAAAGAACUUUGGAAAGAGAGUUAAACAGUACGUGAAAUUGCUGAAAGGGAAACGCUUGAAGUCAGUCGCAUUGUGUGGGAAUCAACCUUGCUUUUGCUGGGCGUAUUUUCCAUAUGAUGGGUCAGCAUCAAUUUUGACCGUUGGAUAAAGUUCAAGGGAAUGUGGCAUCUUCGGAUGUGUUAUAGCCCUUGGUCGUAUACAACGAUUGGGAUUGAGGAACUCAGCACGCCGAAAGGCCGGGUCUUGUACCACGUUCGUGCUUAGGAUGCUGGCAUAAUGGCUUUAAUCGACCCGUCUUGAAACACGGACCAAGGAGUCUAACAUGCCUGCGAGUAUUUGGGUGAAAAACCCGAGUGCGUAAUGAAAGUGAAAGUUGAGAUCCCUGUCAUGGGGAGCAUCGACGCCCGGACCAGACCUUUUGUGACGGAUCUGCGGUAGAGCAUGUAUGUUGGGACCCGAAAGAUGGUGAACUAUGCCUGAAUAGGGUGAAGCCAGAGGAAACUCUGGUGGAGGCUCGUAGCGAUUCUGACGUGCAAAUCGAUCGUCAAAUUUGGGUAUAGGGGCGAAAGACUAAUCGAAUCAUU